GUGUUGUAUGAAAGGAGAGAAGAUUAGCACUCCCCUUGAUAAGGAUAAAGGGGUCUUAGUGGCCUUUCAACACACAUGGGAUUUGAGGGAGAUGGGGUUGAGUGUCUGGAAUUCAUUGUUUGA